GAUUUCUGGCUUGCAGCAUUUGGCCGGCCACGGUUUCGUGUGUUAGUGCUCUGUGCUCUGGCCAUCCUUCCAAUCGCUAUGCACCUCUCUUCAUUGAUGGGUGCGUGGUAUUGGAUCUUUUACUUUGAAAAAAUUAGAGUGUUUCAAGCAGGCUUUAUGCUAUGAAUACAUUAGCAUGGAAUAAUAAUUUAGGACUUCGGUUCUAUUUUGUUGGUUUCUAGGACUGAAGUAAUGAUUGAUAGGGAUAGUUGGGGGUGCUAGUAUUCAGCGGCCAGAGGUGAAAUUCUCGGAUUCGCUGAAGACUAACUUAUGCGAAAGCAUU
rnacentral:rRNA from 1 species